CAAAGGCUUCGGCCGGUAAAGGAUGGGGAUGCGUCCGAUUAGCUUGCCGGCGGGGUAACGGCCCACCGGGGCGACGAUCAGUAGGGGUUCUGAGAGGAAGGUCCCCCACAUUGGAACUGAGACACGGUCCAAACUCCUACGGGAGGCAGCAGUGAGGAAUAUUGGUCAAUGGGCGCGAGCCUGAACCAGCCAAGUAGCGUGCAGGACGACGGCCCUAUGGGUUGUAAACUGCUUUUAUACGGGGAUAAAGUAUGCCACGUGUGGUUUAUUGCAGGUACCGUAUGAAUAAGGACCGGCUAAUUCCGUGCCAGCAGCCGCGGUAAUACGGAAGGUCCGGGCGUUAUCCGGAUUUAUUGGGUUUAAAGGGAGCGUAGGCCGGGUUUUAAGCGUGCCGUGAAAUGUCGGGGCUCAACCUUGACACUGCGGCGCGAACUGGAGUCCUUGAGUGCGCGGAACGUAUGCGGAAUUCGUGGUGUAGCGGUGAAAUGCUUAGAUAUCACGAAGAACCCCGAUUGCGAAGGCAGCAUACGGCAGCGCUACUGACGCUGAAGCUCGAAGGCGCGGGUAUCGAACAGGAUUAGAUACCCUGGUAGUCCGCGCGGUAAACGAUGGAUGCCCGCUGUUGGCGAUAUAUUGUCA
rnacentral:rRNA from 1 species